rnacentral:rRNA from 1 species
GAGUUUGAUCGUGGCUCAGGACGAACGCUGGCGGCGUGCCUAAUACAUGCAAGUCGAGCGAGUCUGCCUUGAAGAUCGGAGUGCUUGCACUCUGUGAAACAAGAUACAGGCUAGCGGCGGACGGGGUGAGUAACACGUGGGUAACCUGCCCAAGAGAUCGGGAUAACACCUGGAAACAGAUGCUAAUACCGGAUAACAACAGAUGAUGCCUAUCAACUGUUUAAAAGAUGGUUCUGCUAUCACUCUUGGAUGGACCUGCGGUGCAUUAGCUAGUUGGUAGGUAACGGCCUACCAAGGCGAUGAUGCAUAGCCGAGUUGAGAGACUGAUCGGCCACAUUGGGACUGAGACACGGCCCAAAACUCCUACGGGAGGCAGC